AACGAACGCUGGCGGCAUGCCUAACACAUGCAAGUCGAACGAGACCUUCGGGUCUAGUGGCGCACGGGUGCGUAACGCGUGGGAACCUGCCCUUAGGUUCGGAAUAACUCCCCGAAAGGGGUGCUAAUACCGGAUAAUGUCUUCGGACCAAAGAUUUAUCGCCCUUGGAUGGGCCCGCGUUGGAUUAGCUUGUUGGUAGGGGAAAAGCCUAUCAAGGCUAAGUUCCAUAGCUGGUCUGAGAGAAAGAUCAGCCACACUGGGUGUGAGACACGGCGCAGACUCUUACGGGAGGCAGCAGUGGGGAAUAUAGGACAAUGGGCGGAAGCCUGAUGCAGCACUGCCGGGUGAGUGAUGAAGGCCUUAGGGUUGUAAAGCUCUUUUACCCGGGAUGAUAAUGACGGUACCGGGAGAAUAAGCACCGGCUAACUCCGUG
rnacentral:rRNA from 1 species